rnacentral:rRNA from 1 species
GACGAACGCUGGCGGCGUGCUUAACACAUGCAAGUCGAGCGGUAAGGCCCUUUCGGGGGUACACGAGCGGCGAACGGGUGAGUAACACGUGGGUGACCUGCCCUCAGCUCUGGGAUAAGCCUGGGAAACCGGGUCUAAUACCGGAUAUGACUCCAUGACGCAUGUUGUGGGGUGGAAAGCCCUGUGCGGCUGAGGAUGGGCCCGCGGCCUAUCAGCUUGUUGGUGGGGUGAUGGCCUACCAAGGCGACGACGGGUAGCCGGCCUGAGAGGGCGACCGGCCACACUGGGACUGAGACACGGCCCAGCUCCUACGGGAGGCAGGCAGGUGGGGAAUCUUGCGCAAUGGGCGAAAGCCUGACGCAGCGACGCCGCGUGAGGGAUGACGGCCU